rnacentral:tRNA from 1 species
AAUAAAGAGGUGUUUUGGCACGGGAAAUUUUGGAUUUUCAGGAGAUUUUUUGUAAAGUUCUUUAUUG